rnacentral:rRNA from 1 species
GAUGAACGCUAGCGGGAGGCUUAACACAUGCAAGUCGAGGGGUAUAUCAGCAAUGGUAGAGACCGGCGGACGGGUGCGUAACGCGUAUGCAACUUGCCUUAUACAGGUGGAUAGCCCGUGGAAACGCGGAUUAAUACGCCAUGAUUUAUUAUAUCUGCAUGGAUUAGAUGAAAAAGCUGAGGUGGUAUAAGAUAGGCAUGCGUCUGAUUAGCUUGUUGGUAGGGUAACGGCCUACCAAGGCGACGAUCAGUAGGGGUUCUGAGAGGAUGAUCAGCCACACUGGCACUGGAACACGGGCCAGACUCCUACGGUGGCAG